rnacentral:rRNA from 1 species
ACCAGUCCUAGCCCAUUCAACUUCAACCUUACCUAACAACCAUACUACAUUAAAACAAAACAUUUAUCUCUAUAAAAGUAUAGGAGAUAGAAAUUAUACCUUGGAGCUAUAUAGCUAGUACCGCAAGGGAAAGAUGAAAGAAACAACUUAUAGUAAAACAAAGCAAAGACUAAUCCUUCUACCUUUUGCAUAAUGAAUUAACUAGACACUACUUCGCAAAAAGAAUUUAAGUCAAGCGCCCCGAAACCAGACGAGCUACUUAUGGGCAGCUAAAAGAGCCAAUCCGUCUAUGUAGCAAAAUAGUGGAAUGACCUGCAAGUAGAGGUGAAAAGCCUACCGAGCCUGGUGAUAGCUGGUUGUCCAGAAUAAGAAUUUUAGUUCGACGUUAAAUUUGCCUCAAGAACCCAUAAUCCAAAUGUAAAUUUAACUGCUAAUCUAAAGAGGGACAGCUCUUUAGACAUAGGAAAAAACCUUUAUUAGAGAGUAAACCCAACAGAUAUCAUAGUUGGCCUAAAAGCAGCCACCAAUUAAAAAAGCGUUCAAGCUUAACCAAACGAACACAACUUAAUCUAAAUAUUAAUGAUCACCUCCUAAUAUAAUACUGGACCAAUCUAUAAUUUAACCAUAGAAGAAAUAAUGUUAAUAUGAGUAACAAGAAAAAUAUUUCUCCCUGCAUAAGCUUAUAUCAGUCCGAAUAAAUCACUGAUAGUUAACAUACCUAUAAUUUAAUCCAUUUAUACCAACUUUUAUUAACUACAAUGUUAAUCCAACACCGGCAUGCACUUCAAGGGAAAGAUUAAAAAAAGUAAAAGGAACUCGGCAAACACUAACCCCGCCUGUUUACCAAAAACAUCACCUCUAGCAUAACCAGUAUUAGAGGCACUGCCUGCCCAGUGAUCUACAUUAAACGGCCGCGGUAUCCUGACCGUGCAAAGGUAGCAUAAUCAUUUGUUCUUUAAAUAGGGACUUGCAUGAACGGCUAAACGAGGGUUAAUCUGUCUCUUACUUUUAAUCAGUGAAAUUGACCUUCCCGUGAAGAGGCGGGAAUAAACAAAUAAGACGAGAAGACCCUAUGGAGCUUAAAUUUAUUAACCCAAGUAACUACCCACAACUAAUCUACAAGAUUUUAAUCUACAUUACUCAUGGGUUAAAAAUUUUGGUUGGGGUGACCUCGGAGCAUAAAACAACCUCCGAAUGAUUAUAAUUAAGACUAAACUUGUCUAAAUCCAUGCUCAUCAAUUGACCCAAACCUUUGAUCAACGGAACAAGUUACCCUAGGGAUAACAGCGCAAUCCUACUCGAGAGUCCAUAUCGACAGUAGGGUUUACGACCUCGAUGUUGGAUCAGGACAUCCUAAUGGUGCAGCCGCUAUUAAUGGUUCGUUUGUUCAACGAUUAAAGUCCUACGUGAUCUGAGUUCAGACCGGAGAAAUCCAGGUCGGUUUCUAUCUAUUAUAAAUUUCUCCCAGUACGAAAGGACAAGAGAAAUGAGGCCAAUUUUUAUAACAUGCCUUAUAGACGAUAGAUGAUAUAAUCUCAAUCUAAUUAACUAUGCACACAAUCCACCCUAGAACAGGGUUA